GGGGUAUACUACUAAUAAUUAAUGUGCACUAUUUCAUACAAAAUGAAACAUAAAAAUAAGAUUGGGAUCUCAUUUAAGACUGGAAGCUACAGAACGAGCCCACAAUUUAAGGCUAUCUUUCAUGUUCAUGUCACCACGUAACUUAGCCAUUCUAAAAUCUAUAACCAUUGAAUCUUUCUCUGUUCUUCCACUCCAUUUAUCAUAGUAAAAGUCUUAAGCCUCCGACAAAUAUGGUCUCGGCACCAUCAACGGCUCUUUCUCAUUUUGUUCUUCCGGGCAGAGAAAUGUCCGCAAUCCGGGAAGAAUCUCCGGUAACUCCGAGUGUAAGUCUUCUUCUGUAAAAACAAAACCUAAAUCCAUAAAACCUUUUGUCUCCUCAGCUUCUAAAGCAGACACACUCUCUCUUUUGUCACUUAUUCUUCUUCCUCCUCCUUUGCUCCUCUCUGAUCCUCCUCUGGUUCUCCAAGUUAGAUCAUCGGAGCUUAUCAAUGCUUCAUCGAUCCGUUUCGAAGGCUUCCACACUUUUCCUUCGAUUUUGGCAUUCGGGUUUGGUAUCAGAAUGUUGUUUUGAGGUCUUGCUUAUUUCCAUCUCUCAAGCCUCAAGAAUCAAAG
rnacentral:lncRNA from 1 species